CACCCAGUCCUCCUCCAUCUUGUCCUCCUCUUCCUGACUGUGGUGACAGUUGGAUGCUGCUGGUCAUUCUGUGUCCUGUCUGUUCACUCCUCUCUGCUGUCAUCUCCUCCAUCUUCGUGUUCUGUCUAUGUCACAGUAAAGUGUCCAACAAAAUGGAAAUCAAGACAAGUGCAACUGCAGACUCCAGGAAACACCAAUGGCAACAGGAUGAAGAUGUGUGCUAUGCAUCACUGGACAUACCCAGCAUGGGAGAAAACCCAAGACCAAAGAGAAAGAUACAACAGAACAAUGAGUGUAGUACCUACUCAGACAUAAGAACUACUGCUAUGUAAUGUGAAGGAUGCAGGCAAAUAAGA